CAGUCGCCGCGGGAAUACAGAGGGUGCGAGCGUUAAUCGGAUUUACUGGGCGUAAAGCGUGCGUAGGCGGCUUUUUAAGUCGGAUGUGAAAUCCCUGAGCUUAACUUAGGAAUUGCAUUCGAUACUGGGAAGCUAGAGUAUGGGAGAGGAUGGUAGAAUUCCAGGUGUAGCGGUGAAAUGCGUAGAUAUGCGGAGGAACACCGAUGGCGAAGGCAAUCCCCUGGGCCUGUACUGACGCUCAUGCACGAAAGCGUGGGGAGCAAACAGGAUUAGAUACCCCGUAGUCCCUGUCUCUUAUACA
rnacentral:rRNA from 1 species